rnacentral:rRNA from 1 species
AUUGAACGCUGGCGGCAGGCUUAACACAUGCAAGUCGAGCGGGGUGAUGUAGCUUGCUACAUUACCUAGCGGCGGACGGGUGAGUAAUGCUUAGGAAUCUGCCUAUUAGUGGGGGACAACAUUCCGAAAGGAAUGCUAAUACCGCAUACGCCCUACGGGGGAAAGCAGGGGAUCUUCGGACCUCGCGCUAAUAGAUGAGCCUAAGUCAGAUUAGCUAGUUGGUGGGGUAAAGGCCUACCAAGGGGACGAUCUGUAGCGGGUCUGAGAGGAUGAUCCGCCACACUGGGACUGAGACACGGCCCAGACUCCUACGGGAGGCAGCAGUGGGGAAUAUUGGACAAUGGGCGAAAGCCUGAUCCAGCCAUGCCGCGUAUGUGAAGAAGGCCUUUUGGUUGUAAAGCACUUUAAGCGAGGAGGAGGCUACUUGGAUUAAUACUCUGGGAUAGUGGACGUUACUCGCAGAAUAAGCACCGGCUAACUCUGUGCCAGCAGCCGCCGUAA